rnacentral:rRNA from 1 species
UGCAAGUCGAACGAGUUCUGAUUAUUGAAAGGUGCUUGCAUCUUGAUUUAAUUUUGAACGAGUGGCGGACGGGUGAGUAACACGUGGGUAACCUGCCCUUAAGUGGGGGAUAACAUUUGGAAACAGAUGCUAAUACCGCAUAAAUCCAAGAACCGCAUGGUUCUUGGCUGAAAGAUGGCGUAAGCUAUCGCUUUUGGAUGGACCCGCGGCGUAUUAGCUAGUUGGUGAGGUAACGGCUCACCAAGGCAAUGAUACGUAGCCGAACUGAGAGGUUGAUCGGCCACAUUGGGACUGAGACACGGCCCAAACUCCUACGGGAGGCAGCAGUAGGGAAUCUUCCACAAUGGACGCAAGUCUGAUGGAGCAACGCCGCGUGAGUGAAGAAGGCUUUCGGGUCGUAAAACUCUGUUGUUGGAGAAGAAUGGUCGGCAGAGUAACUGUUGUCGGCGUGACGGUAUCCAACCAGAAAGCCACGGCUAACUACGUGCCAGCAGCCGCGGUAAUACGUAGGUGGCAAGCGUUAUCCGGAUUUAUUGGGCGUAAAGCGAGCGCAGGCGGUUUUUUAAGUCUGAUGUGAAAGCCCUCGGCUUAACCGAGGAAGUGCAUCGGAAACUGGGAAAACUUGAGUGCAGAAGAGGACAGUGGAACUCCAUGUGUAGCGGUGAAAUGCGUAGAUAUAUGGAAGAACACCAGUGGCGAAGGCGGCUGUCUGGUCUGUAACUGACGCUGAGGCUCGAAAGCAUGGGUAGCGAACAGGAUUAGAUACCCUGGUAGUCCAUGCCGUAAACGAUGAAUGCUAGGUGUUGGAGGGUUUCCGCCCUUCAGUGCCGCAGCUAACGCAUUAAGCAUUCCGCCUGGGGAGUACGACCGCAAGGUUGAAACUCAAAGGAAUUGACGGGGGCCCGCACAAGCGGUGGAGCAUGUGGUUUAAUUCGAAGCAACGCGAAGAACCUUACCAGGUCUUGACAUCUUUUGAUCACCUGAGAGAUCAGGUUUCCCCUUCGGGGGCAAAAUGACAGGUGGUGCAUGGUUGUCGUCAGCUCGUGUCGUGAGAUGUUGGGUUAAGUCCCGCAACGAGCGCAACCCUUAUGACUAGUUGCCAGCAUUUAGUUGGGCACUCUAGUAAGACUGCCGGUGACAAACCGGAGGAAGGUGGGGAUGACGUCAAAUCAUCAUGCCCCUUAUGACCUGGGCUACACACGUGCUACAAUGGAUGGUACAACGAGUUGCGAGACCGCGAGGUCAAGCUAAUCUCUUAAAGCCAUUCUCAGUUCGGACUGUAGGCUGCAACUCGCCUACACGAAGUCGGAAUCGCUAGUAAUCGCGGAUCAGCACGCCGCGGUGAAUACGUUCCCGGGCCUUGUACACACCGCCCGUCACACCAUGAGAGUUUGUAACACCCGAAGCCGGUGGCGUAACCCUUUUAGGGAGCGAGCCG